CCCUUGUAGAAGUAAGUGAAGACUGCAGGGGUCAGCAAGAAGGUGGCAAGGAGAACAAGGGAUGGAGGCAGCAUCCAGAAGACCCACAGAGAGAAGAACAGAAGGAAAAUCUGUUUGCGUGAACCGCCCAGCCACCUCUGCUGACCUGGCUCUUCCUGCUGCCUCACGAUGCCUCAGCCCCAAGAACUGAGGGCUCAAGGGACCCCCAGGCUUUGGUUUUCUGGCCCUGGGAUGUACCCCCCGCCCCCUAGGCUGCACCUUUCUCCAGGAUUAAAGCCCCUUUCCUCCCCACUCCCGAGGACGCUUCACAGGAACAGAGCUGGGAAAUCUCUCAGCUGUGUGUCAUUUCACCAGAGUGGUCUUUUAAAAAGAAGUCACAGAGCCUGAUGCAGGGCUCGAAAUCACCAACUGUGAGGCCAUGACCGGAGCCGAAGUCUGACGCUUAACUGAUUGAACCACCCAGGCGCCCCACACCAGACUGGUCUUGAAGGUGGGUAGCUCUUGGUGAAUUUCUGCAGAGUGGCAAUGCUGGCUUUAAAAAUGCCACAGUUGGACUGUCCAAAAGGUGUACAAACAAUCGUAUUAUUUACAAGUCAUCUUUUAGCCUUAACACAUGGUAAAGCGUUUCCAGAUCCCUUUCCUUGAAUCAGCUCAGCAACACCCUUUGUUGUUGGGUCCACACUGCCACUAAGACUUCAGAUGAAAGAUGCUUUGGGCACUCCAGCCUCUCCGACACCCGAGAACGGGAUAUUUUUGGUUAAGUGCUGCCUCCUGGCGGCAGCUCUACUGCCCGACACCUUCCCCUCCUGGUGGAGACCACUUCCUUUAACUGGGGAUCUCGAAGCUGAUGCAACAGCUUCCCCGAGGGGGCGGGGAGUUGAGACGCCCAUCCGAAAGACCCCUCCCCUGGCUCCCGGCGGGCGCCGCUCCUUUCCUCCUCCCCCACGGGACUUUGCAGUCCAGAGUCCCUCCGGAGUUUCAGCUUUGCAUCUCCGGGCCGGAGGCGGGGUUGCCAGGGUUUGGGGCUCUGGCCCGACCCCCGUCGGGCAGCCAGCGCGAGCAGGAUUGGGAGGGUGGGAAGAGGAAGCUGAGCGUCCCUGGGGCGGAGGACGCACCCAAGGGUAUCCGCAGACACUUCCCUGUCCCAGGGGUAGCGCAGCUGUGCGUGAGCGAAGAGAGGGCAGGGGAGCGGGUUGCAGGCCACCUCGGCUCUCGGACCCUGGCGCCCUUCCCUCCACCCACCACGCUCCCCUCCUCCAGCGCUUCCUGAAGCCCGGGGAGGGGCGGAGGCUGCUUGGCCAGGGGGAAGGAAGGGAAGGGGACGCCGGGUGGGGUGGGUUGCUGGUCCCUCAAGGCAGACCCCGGUUUGGCCUCCGUAUCCAGACCUGGACGUCGGGGGCGACCAAGCUUUUAAGAGGAGCAUUGAGGGUGGGCGGCGGCUGGGUCGGGGUUUGGGAAGGCGAGGUCUCGGGGCUGCGGAUACGGAACACCCAGGGGCCAAGGGAAAGAGGGUACUAAAGGGAGCCGGCAGGGGAAGGCGAGGCGGGGCUGGGGGCUGGGGAGUGUGGGAGAAAGGGGCAAAGGUG